rnacentral:lncRNA from 1 species
UGUAACCUCAGAGAGAAUCACCCAAAAUUGUCACAGAAUUUGGGGCUGGCUGGGGCUGGAGGGACUUUAGGGCUGAUCCAGGGCCACCUCCCCCUGUCCCAGCGUGCUCCAAACCCCCUCCAGCCUGGAGGGGGCACUGCCAGGGAUGGGGCAGCCACGUUUCCCUGGAGAAUGAGGGGUAACAACCUUUGGUUUACAACCAUGACACGUAAAUAGAGAAAGAAGCUGAAAAGAAACCCCAAAGCAGCCAAAACGCACGAGCUGUGUGUGUGUGAAACCCCCGAGGCCUGGAGCUGAGCCCUUAAACCCUCAGGAGGGGACAACAAACCCCUCGGGGGGGCCCCAAGCCCCUGUGUGCCCAUUUUGGGGUGCUCAGGGCUGUGCCUGUCCCUGCCCAGGGCUGCCAUCGAGGAGUCCCUGCGGGUGCUGCGCCACGCCGCCGGCAACAUCUACAUCAACGACAAAUCCACGGGGGCCGUGGUGGCCCAGCAGCCCUUCGGGGGCUCCCGCAUCUCAGGCACCAAUGACAAGCCCGGGGGUCCCCACUACCUGCUGCGCUGGACGUCCCCGCAGGCCAUCAAGGAGACACACGUGGCCCUGGGGGACUGGCAGUACCCCUGCAUGCAGUGACCCUGGGGGACUGGCAGUACCCCUGCAUGCAGUGACCCUGGGGACAGCUGCCACCGCAGCGCCGGCAGCGCUCGCACUACUGACCCCCCACCUGCCCCUCCUAGCUCCUGAAAAAAAAACAAACAAAAAAAGUUGUUAAAUGGUAAAAGCUCGGAGCUGCUCGUGGUGUCCUCGGCCGCCCCUGGGGACACGAUGGUGAGUGUGCCACUGCUUGGGUUGCAUGACCUUAAAGGGCUUUGCCAACCUCAGUGAUUCUGUGCAGGCAUGCUUCAUUAGGUCAGUCGUUAAUUAAGGGGUGGCUGCAGAGGCACAGCUGGACCCCGGCUCCCUUUUCCUCCCGGCUCUGCCACCCCCAGAGCGGAUCCCCCUCCCCAGGGCCGAGCAGGAGCUGAGAUCUGUCCCUGUCCCUGCACCCAGCCAUGUCCCUGCCUGUCCCAAAUCCCUGGGUGUGCAGGGCAGCCAGGCUGGUCCCACCCCUGGGCUGGGCUGUGUCCCCAGCCUGAGCCCCCUGGGCUGGGCUGUGUCCCCAACCUGAGCCCCCUGUCACCCCUGGGCUGGGCUGUGUCCCCAACCUGAGCCCCCUGUCACCCCUGGGCUGGGCUGUGUCUCCAGCCUGGCACCCCUGUCACCCCUGGGCUGGGCUGUGUCCCCAACCUGAGCCCCCUGUCACCCCUGGGCUGGGUUUUGUCCCCAACCUGAGCCCCCUGUCACCCCUGGGCUGGGCUGUGUCCCCAGCCUGGCACCCCUGGGCUGGGUUUUGUCCCCAGCCUGGCACCCCUGGGCUGGGUUUUGUCCCCAACUUGAGCCCCCUGUCACCCCUGGGCUGGGCUGUGUCCCCAGCCUGACA